ACGAACGCUGGCGGCGUGCUUAACACAUGCAAGUCGAACGGUGAAGCGCCUUCCUUUUUGGUGGGUGUGGAUGAGUGGCGAACGGGUGAGUAACACGUGAGUAACCUGCCCCCUUCUUCUGGAUAACCGCAUGAAAGUGUGGCUAAUACGGGAUAUUCUGGGUCUGUCGCAUGAUGGGUCUGGGAAAGAUAUUGUUUCGGUGGGGGAUGGGCUCGCGGCCUAUCAGCUUGUUGGUGGGGUGAUGGCCUACCAAGGCGGUGACGGGUAGCCGGCCUGAGAGGGUGGACGGUCGCACUGGGAGUGAGGCACGGCCGAGACUACUACGGGGGGCAGCAGUGGGGAGUAUUGCACAAUGGGGGGAAGCCUGAUGCAGCGGCGCCGCGUGAGGGAUGGAGGCCUUCGGGGUGUGAACCUCUUUCGCCAGUGAAGCAGGCCUGCCUCGUUUGUGGGUGGGUUGACGGUAGCUGGAUAAGAAGCGCCGGCUAACUACGUG
rnacentral:rRNA from 1 species